UUCGGCGGGCCCGCCUCACGGCCGCCGGGGGGCAUCUGCCCCCGGGCCCGCGCCCGCCGAAGACACACAAACGAACUCUUGUCUGAAGAUUGCAGUCUGAGUACUUGACUAAAUCAGUUAAAACUUUCAACAACGGAUCUCUUGGUUCCGGCAUCGAUGAAGAACGCAGCGAAAUGCGAUAAGUAAUGUGAAUUGCAGAAUUCAGUGAAUCAUCGAGUCUUUGAACGCACAUUGCGCCCCCUGGUAUUCCGGGGGGCAUGCCUGUCCGAGCGUCAUUGCUGCCCUCAAGCACGGCUUGUGUGUUGGGCUCUCGCCCCCCGCUUCCGGGGGGCGGGCCCGAAAGGCAGCGGCGGCACCGCGUCCGGUCCUCGAGCGUAUGGGGCUUCGUCACCCGCUCUGUAGGCCCGGCCGGCGCCCGCCGGCGAACACCAUCAAUCUUAACCAGGUUGACCUCGGAUCAGGUAGGGAUACCCGCUGAACUUAAGCAUAUCAAUAAGCGGAGGAAAAGAAACCAACAGGGAUUGCCUCAGUAACGGCGAGUGAAGCGGCAAGAGCUCAAAUUUGAAAGCUGGCUCCUUCGGGGUCCGCAUUGUAAUUUGCAGAGGAUGCUUCGGGAGCGGCCCCCAUCUAAGUGCCCUGGAACGGGCCGUCAUAGAGGGUGAAAAUCCCGUCUGGGAUGGGGUGUCCGCGCCCGUGUGAAGCUCCUUCGACGAGUCGAGUUGUUUGGGAAUGCAGCUCUAAAUGGGUGGUAAAUUUCAUCUAAAGCUAAAUAUUGGCCGGAGACCGAUAGCGCACAAGUAGAGUGAUCGAAAGAUGAAAAGCACUUUGAAAAGAGAGUUAAACAGCACGUGAAAUUGUUGAAAGGGAAGCGCUUGCGACCAGACUCGCCCACGGGGUUCAGCCGGCAUUCGUGCCGGUGUACUUCCCCGCGGGCGGG
rnacentral:rRNA from 1 species